rnacentral:misc_RNA from 1 species
AUUGUAACAAGGUUUCCGUAGGUGAACCUGCGGAAGGAUCAUUACCGAGUGCGGGCCCUCGCGGCCCAACCUCCCACCCUUGUCUCUAUACAUCUGUUGCUUUGGCGGGCCCACCGGGGCCACCUGGUCGCCGGGGGACGCACGUCCCCGGGCCCGCGCCCGCCGAAGCGCUCUGUGAACCCUGAUGAAGAUGGGCUGUCUGAGUAUUAUGAAAAUUGUCAAAACUUUCAACAAUGGAUCUCUUGGUUCCGGCAUCGAUGAAGAACG